UACGUAGGGUGCAAGCGUUGUCCGGAAUUAUUGGGCGUAAAGAGCUUGUAGGCGGUUUGUCGCGUCUGCUGUGAAAUUUCGGGGCUCAACCCCGAACUUGCAGUGGGUACGGGCAGACUAGAGUGUGGUAGGGGAGACUGGAAUUCCUGGUGUAGCGGUGAAAUGCGCAGAUAUCAGGAGGAACACCGGUGGCGAAGGCGGGUCUCUGGGAAAUAACUGACGCUGAGAAGCGAAAGCGUGGGUAGCGAACAGG
rnacentral:rRNA from 1 species